rnacentral:rRNA from 1 species
UACGUAGGUGGCAAGCGUUGUCCGGAUUUAUUGGGUUUAAAGGGUGCGUAGGCGGUUUAUUAAGUCAGCGGUGAAAGACGAUAGCUUAACUAUGGAGGUGCCAUUGAUACUGAUGAACUUGAGUGCACACGAGGUAAGCGGAAUGGACGGUGUAGCGGUGAAAUGCAUAGAGAUCGUCUAGAACACCGAUAGUGAAGACAGCUUACCAGAGUGCAACUGACGAUGAGGCACGAAAGUGUGGGGAUCAAACAGG